rnacentral:lncRNA from 1 species
CCCAGUUCAUUUAAUGUGAAACAAAAGGCCACUGCUUGCUGGUAAUGAAUCAUUAGGUACUGUAGCUAUAUGUGCAUUAACGGGAUUAUUUCCAGGGAACUCUGCCGUUCCCUCACAUUAAAGUCUGAGAUAUUUUAAAAAACUAAUGUUAGUUUCUUCAAUACACCACCUUUGCCCUGCAUUCGCAGUUGCUAUCAGACAAACAUGGCAAUGCAAUCUGUUCCUUCCAUUUUGUUAAUAGGCCAUCAUGCCAUUCUAGAGAUGGUAGUUUGUAAUGUAAAGAGGCUGUAUUGUUUGCUUAACAGUCAAGUGACAAAUUAUUUAAUUAGCACAUAUGCCAUUUGUCUCCACAGCUGUGUUCAUCAUUCUAAUUGCAAAGCAGUCUUAAUUUAUUGCAACUAUAUUGCUCCCUAAUACUAACACAGUAAUUAUAUGCUUCCAUUAGCCCACUACACCCUAUGUAAAAAAAAAAAAAAGAUUCAUUCCUCCACACGAUGUAUCUCUCCACCAGUGAGAGGUAUGGAAUCUCUUGCUUGUGAAGGGGAUACGUGGGUAGCUGCUAGAAAAAUUGAAGACUCUGUGCUUGAUUUUUUCCUAGCCACUUUCUUGAAAGUUUCUAUUGUUGGAAUUGCCAGAAAUGUUCAGAUUUUGCUUUGUUUUGAAAGUGUUCUGGUUGGAUGCACAAGACUGUUUUGAUAUCUCCACCUGCUGGAGAAACCCCAGCACGCAGAAUGGAGCCAGCCUCUGCCUUCUGAAAAACACCCAGCUCCUGCACACCAAAACUGCACAAACUCUCCUUUCAUCCUUCUCCUCCCUUUCCUCAGCAGAUCUGCCUCCAGGUCAGGAAGAAGGCGCCAGGAGAGGUGUGCAGCCCUGUAACACCUGCAGACAUUUUCAUCUGCACAGGAGAAAUGUUUCUUCAGAACUGCAUGGAGAGGGAUACAGUAAAAACACUUCUAACCCGAUACAGAUGAAAGGCAUCAAAAUCCUCGGGAGAGGUAUCGGCUGCCUCUGCUAAAACCCUUUUUUGGAAAAUUUCGGUGGCUGAUGUUGGAGAUCCUCAGCCUCAUAAAAAUAUAUACACGUUUAUUAAAAAGCCCAGAGUUUAACGAAUGCAUGGCACAUCACCCCUGCGCGGAUGCGUUUCAUUCAGUCAUUCUGCCUUUGGAGAUACAAUUUACAUGGCUAUCCUCUCACGAGCAAAUCUUUCGAUGAAACUGUGAGAGAGGACUUCAAUUGUAAAAAGAGAAUAAAAGUAGCAAAUGCUCGGCUUCCA